ACCAUUGUACUCCAGCUUGGGCAACAAGAACAAAACUUCAUCUCAAAAAAAAAAAAAAAGUAAAGCAAAUACGUAUGGAGUGUACAAUAGUAAAUAGAGAAAUAGAAGUGAAAGCAACAAUUUGGUAUUUUUUAAGUCAGAUUUUCCAAAAAAGCAAAUGGUGGGUAGGGAGCAUUGACAGCGUCAUUCUUGGAUGGAUUCCAGUGGGGAGCAGAAAGAGACACAAGUAAUUUGGCAGCAUGCACCAUCAGAAGUAGUGUAAUGUGAUUCCAGAGCAUGGACUCUUCAGCCAGAUGGCCUCAGUUUUACUACUUUUACUAGCUGUGUGAUCUUAGGUAAAUUAUUUAACCUUUCAGUGCCUCAGUGUUCUCAUCUGUAAAAUGGAGAUAAUCAUAGAAUGUACCAAACAGUAUUGUUAUAAGAACUCAUUUAGUUAGAAUAUGUAAAGUGCUUAGAAAAGUACAUGUCCCAUAGUAAGUCUUAUGUAAAUAUAUUUGCUUUAUCAUCAUUGUCUUUAUAUACCUCAAGAGAUCCAGUUUCUAGGAGUGUGUCAUCAGGAAGUUGUUAUACAUAUGGAAAAAGAUUCAUGUGUUAUGGUGUUAAUGUAGCAUAAUUUACAAAAAUUUAAAUAACUUUUCCCAGUGAAUUAGUGAUUAGCCAAAUCUUGAUAAACUUAUUUUUUUCUUAUUAUGAUAGAAUAAAUGCAGCUAUGUCUGUGAAGAAACUUUAUAGGAAAUUAUUAAAAUUUACUUUUUUACAUUUAAUAUUAUGAUAAGCAACUCUAGAAAGAAUUUGUGUCUGCGCAGUUACAUAUGUGAAUAUUUUAUUCUUAUUGGAAAGAAAUGCAUAUAUUUUACUCUUAGUGGAAGAAAAUGCCUCAAAAUCAGUGAUAUUUAUCUCUGAGUAACAGGAUUACUGCUUUGUUAAUUUUUCUUUUUGUAGUUACCAAAUUUUCCACAAUGAAUAAUAUAUUGUUUUAGGACAGAAAAUUAUUAAAAGAGCAGGAGUAAUGAUUUUAUUUGAGAGUAUAGUAAAUCUCUCACAUGUAAGAACAAGAUCAUCUUUGCCUCCAGAUGGCACUACCAUUUUCACAGAGAAGUAAAGAAUUCUGGGCUGAUGAGCAUUUUGUCAGUUAGGAUCGAGGCUUGAUGAUUAUGUUUGUCUUGCUUCCUAAACCAGCCCUAGACAGAUGGGUGGAGGGAGGCAUGGACCCCGCAACAUGCCCCCUUAGAAUGCUGCUUUUUUUCCUUGCAGAUUUUUGCCUGUUUGUGGAUUCUUUAAAGUUGUAGGGCCAUUUGUUUUAACAUCUAUUAAAACCAAUUGAGAGCAAAUGAAAUUGUUUGUUUUUAAUAGUCUGAAAAGCAAGCACGAUGAAUAAAACACAUUUUUCAUAGUAUAGUUUAUUUCCUAAGCUAAUAGAGCAACUUUAAAGAGCUAUUAGGGCAGAAUAAAAAUACUGCUUUAAAAAAAGUCAUUAUUCUAACAUUUGUUUCUCCUCUAUGUUAAUGAUCUUUCCUCCUGCUCCAUCAUUCUAUCAGGCCUGAAAUUUGACCCCUUUAGUUCCUGUGAUCCUGUAAGAAUGGUUCUUUCAGAUUCUUAGGUUAGAUGGGCAAUCCUUUGCUUUUUAUUUUCUUUUCUGUUUAUUAUUUUAACUUGCACUAUUCUUACAUAAUGAUCCUUUCACUUAAUGAGAUGAAGCAAAGUUAACUGAGUAAAUAGGAGUUUUAUUUAUUAUUUGGUAUUAGGUGAAUCACUGGAAAUUGAGCCUAAUAGAUUUUUCUGUAGGCAAAUCAGUUGCUAAAUAUUUUAAAGAUUUGCAUUUAUGCAUAUCAUGAAAAACCUGUUCUAAAAAUAAUUUUUUAAUAACCCUAAUACUGUUAAUAACUUCAUGGUUUGUAAUUGGCCUGCUGACUGAAUAUUCAUGGAGUCUCUGGACAUAGAAAUAGUGACUUACCUGGAUUUACACUUACGAUUUAUUCAGCUGUUAUUGCUAGGUGGUAUUUUUAUAGUAAAAACUAAAUAUUUUGUAAGACAAAGGUAAAGGAAAAUAAUUAUCACAUAAAUUUCCUUUCGGAAGCUCUCAUGUCUAACAUUAGUAUAUGUGACAAAUUAUUUCCCAAAAGUCUUUCAUGUAUUUAAAUUUGACGUAUUGGUAAUAAUUUUUGAGUAUAUUUUUCAAAAAUAACAUUAAGGUCAAAAUGCAAUUAUUUGAGAUUGGUAACAAUCUACCUUGGUUGAUUGUUAGUAUCUACUGGAAAACUGGAUUAGUUGGACUGAACGGAGGCCAUAUCAUCUAGACAGGGGUUAGGAAUUUUCAUAUGAUGCCUUAUUUAUCUCUUUCUUUAUUAUUUUUUAAAUUAAUUACCAAAAGCAAAAUAAUAGUACUCAUAAUUUGCUUCCCAGAGUUAAAAAAAUGUUAAUUUUUUAUUUGGUUCAGCUCUUUCUUUAAAUGAAAGAAUAUUACAGAUGAAGUUCGAAUCCGAUUUAGAUCUCUUCCCCAUCCUUUUCACUUCCCCUCUGUCUUUGCAGAAGCAGUCCAAAUCAAGAAUGUCAUGUAUUUUCUCCCCAUGUUUUUAUCAAACAUAUAUAGGUAUUUGCAUAUAUUUAGCAAUUUUACAGAAAUAGAAUCUUACCCUUGCAAACAUCUAACGAUUUUUGAGCUCUAUGUGUGUUGAUACAUUUAGCUGUAGUUUAUUUUAUUGUAAUUGCUUGAUAGUAUUCUAUCACUUAUCUAGUUCCCUAUUAAUGGACAUUUAGAUUGUUUCCAGCUUUAUUGCUGAUAAAAAUAGUGCUGCAGAGACAAAUUUUGUAAACGUCUGCCUAAACACAAGAGCAAAGAUUUCUCUAGGAUAUAUAAUUAGAAGUAGAAUGUCUGAGUAAUGAAGAAAUGUAUACAUCUUGCAUUUUAUAAACUUUGCAUAAUGCCUGCCAGUAUGUUUGUACUGGUUUACGUUCUCAACAGUAUGUGUAAGGUACUGAUUUGCUACAUCCUUGCUUAUAGUUUGUAUUGUGGGUAGGAAAUAGUGUGUCAUUUGUAAUUUAAAUGUGAAUCUCCUCAUUACUAGUAAAGUUGGGCAUAUUUUCACAAGUUUAUCAAACUGAGUUUUCUCUUCUAUAAAUUGCUACUCAUCUCCUAUUUACCUAUAUUACUUGUGACUUGAUGUGUGUUUAUUGAUUUGUAAAUGUUAUUAAUCUACACAUGAAACUUUUGGUUGUGUGAGUUGGAAAUAUGCUCUCCCAGUUUACUGCUUGCGCUUCAACUUUGUUAUAGUGUUCUUUUUCAUACAGAUGCUUUAAAUUUUGAUGUUGUCAAAAUUUCAAUUUUUACUGCUUAAGGUUUAUGCUUCUUUAUAUGCCCUGCCUAAGAAACCCAUCUCUACUCUUACGUUCACAAAGGCAUUUUUCAAUGUAUGCUUGCAGGUGUAUUUAUAUUUUUCUUCAAGUCUCAAAGUUUUUCAUUUGUAGUUCAUAAAAGAAUUUUUUGAAAACAUAGUAGUUACUUUGGAAAUGAUGCAUUUCUACCACCAUCCUUUAAAACAAUCCUCACAGUGAUAGGGAUGAUUUUCUAUGACAUUUAAGAGGCUAAGAACAUAAAACACUUAUACCCUGUGACUUUCCAAGAGUGAGUGCUACAUAGCUGUUUAGAAGCUUUCAAUAAGCACUAGAUAAAAUACAGAAGUUGGGGCUGUUUAUUUCGUAUUUGGUUUUGAGGUUCAAAUAUUUGUGAAAAUGUUGUGCAUGUGUGGAAAGAUAAAAUAGAGGACACUUCAAGUUUUGAUCAGUUAUUCAUUGCAGAUUUAGAUUGCUAUCUUAAACUUCUUUUGAAAAUAAAUGCAAGGCCAUACAGACUGGGAAAGCUCAAAUGAUAUGUAUUUGCGCUCUAAACUCUCAACAGUUUGUCACCUGAGGUAUGUUGGGGCACUCAGUCAUCCUUCUGGGAUGAUGCGUAACUGAGUGGGAAGUGUGUGUGUGUGUGUGUGUGUGUGUGUGUUUGUGUUUGUGUGUGUGUGUGUGUAAACUUUGUUGAUGAUGGAGAGUAGUGUUGUUUAUGAAAGAUACAUAAAAGUUUUUUAAAACAUGCUAAUCUUGAAAAUUUUUUUUUCAAAAAUAAGUUUUAAAUUAUUUUGUAUUCUCUUGGUAUUUCAUUAUGAAAAUUUGAUAUGGAUAACCCUUCCAGGUAUUAAAAGCUUGCUGUAAUGAAGAUAUUUGUUCUACCAUUAUCUAGUAUUUUGAAAAAUUAUGUUCUUAUUAAUUAUAUAUAAUAUACUAUAUGCAUGUCAUUUAACAUGUGAUAUAGUAUAUAUUAAUAUAAUUUUGAAAAACAAUGUUAAGUAUUUAAAAGUAUGUGAAUGAUAAUAGAGUAAAUUAUGACAGUAUUCAGUGGAAUAUUAUGUUGCCAUUUUUCUGCAAUCAUGACACUGAUGCAGGUGUAGAGAAUGUUUAAUAUAUAC